UACGUAGGGGGCUAGCGUUGUCCGGAUUUAUUGGGCGUAAAGAGCGUGUAGGCGGCCAGGUAGGUCUGGUGUGAAAACUCGAGGCUUAACCUCGAGAUGUCAUCGGAAACCAUCUGGCUAGAGUCCGGAAGAGGAGAGUGGAAUUCCUGGUGUAGCGGUGAAAUGCGCAGAUAUCAGGAAGAACACCAAUGGCGAAGGCAGCUCGCUGGGACGGUACUGACGCUGAGGCGCGAAAGCGUGGGGAGCGAACAGG
rnacentral:rRNA from 1 species